rnacentral:rRNA from 1 species
UACGAAGGGGGCUAGCGUUGUUCGGAAUUACUGGGCGUAAAGCGCACGUAGGCGGAUAUUUAAGUCAGGGGUGAAAUCCCGGGGCUCAACCCCGGAACUGCCUUUGAUACUGGGUAUCUCGAGUCCGAGAGAGGUGAGUGGAAUUCCGAGUGUAGAGGUGAAACUCGUAGAUAUUCGGAGGAACACCAGUGGCGAAGGCGGCUCACUGGCUCGGUACUGACGCUGAGGUGCGAAAGCGUGGGGAGCAAACAGG